rnacentral:rRNA from 1 species
UACGUAGGGUGCGAGCGUUAAUCGGAAUUGCUGGGCGUAAAGCGUGCGCAGGCGGCUUUGCAAGACAGAUGUGAAAUCCCCGGGCUCAACCUGGGAACUGCAUUUGUGACUGCAAGGCUAGAGUACGGCAGAGGGGGAUGGAAUUCCGCGUGUAGCAGUGAAAUGCGUAGAUAUGCGGAGGAACACCAAUGGCGAAGGCAAUCCCCUGGGCCUGUACUGACGCUCAUGCACGAAAGCGUGGGGAGCAAACAGG